CCUACGGGAGGCAGCAGUGAGGAAUAUUGGUCAAUGGGCGCGAGCCUGAACCAGCCAAGUAGCGUGAAGGAUGACUGCCCUACGGGUUGUAAACUUCUUUUUUAAAGGAAUAAAGUGCGGCACGUGUGCCUUUUUGUAUGUACUUUAUGAAUAAGGAUCGGCUAACUCCGUGCCAGCAGCCGCGGUAAUACGGAGGCUCCGAGCGUUAUCCGGAUUUAUUGGGUGUAAAGGGUGCGUAGAUGGGUUGUUAAGUCAGUUGUGAAAGUUGGGGGCUCAACCGUAAAAUUGCAAUUGAUACUGGCAGGCUUGAGUACAGUAGAGGUAGGCGGAAUUCGUGGUGUAGCGGUGAAAUGCUUAGAUAUCACGAAGAACUCCGAUUGCGAAGGCAGCUUACUAAACUGCCACUGACAUUGAGGCUCGAAAGUGUGGGUAUCAAACAGGAUUAGAUACCCUAGUAGUC
rnacentral:rRNA from 1 species